GAAAGAGGCACAUGGGAGGAAUGGCCUCGAGACUGCAUCAUAUUGAGAAAUCUUGGUCCUGCAUGGAGUGCCCUAGCAAAGGUUUCUUGUUAGAAUGUCUAGUACUCAUUACAGGCAAUCCAAGGAGGUUCCCAGAGCAGUGCAAUAAGGAACCUAAACCUGCCCUACCCACAGGGUAGGUUUGUAGGUUCAGUGUCUCUUACUGUAGAAAAAAAUUUUGGGGGGAUCGAUUAGAGUCACGGGAAGGAUUUGUUAGGUAGAAACACAAAAGUACAAAUUCAAAUGGAGUGUGGACCUUCAGAAAAACGAGACAUUGUUUCCUGGAACUGGGAACAUUUAUGCUUGUCUUGCAGGGGUGGAGAUCCUGGGAAAAAGCCUACUCCCUAGAAGGGUACUGCUCAUUUUAUUUUAUUUUAAAUUUUGAAGGUCAUGACUUUUAUUACCCGUGUAAUUUUGUUUUUGUUUUUGUUUUUGGGUACCAGGGAUUGAACUGAGGACCUUGUGCUUUCGAGGCAGGCACCGGAACCACUGAGCUAAAUCCCCAGCCCCUUCAUUUUAUAGGGAACAGGGAAAGGGGACAUUACUACAACCUCUGCAGUAAAUCCUAGUCUCCUGCGAGCCACGACAGCGCAAGGCGAAUUACAGGAAAGGUAGAAAAAUGAGACCGAGAAGAAGCUGAGCUUUGGGUUUGAUCAGUGCUGCUCUGAGCGGCAAAGCUGAAAGCCCCCAGCUUACCGUACAUCGGGAGAAACAAAUGUAACAAAUGACUUGCAGAGAGUUCAGUACAUCCGCGUAAACAAGACGUAACAAUCCAAGAACAAUGAGGAACUGAGUAGAUGAAGACUUUGUUCCUCCCAGGAUGUCUUCAGCUGGUGUAAUCUUGUCCUGGAGAAUCACAGCAUCACCGGAUCAUUGAGGUCUCAGUGGUGACCGGAGGCCAAAAUGGAAUUAUGUCUCGCAAUUCCAUAGUUGGGCUGUAGGCAGGAGAAGUAGGCUAACCAAAUGAUUUUCCCCUAAAAUUAUGUAGCAUUGGUCCUGACAGCCCCUCACUUUUUCACAGUUUCCCUUUUUCACAGUUUCUUCCUAUUUCAUAUUAUCUAUUAUACAUUUUUUUAAAAGAGGUUCCAGAUUGUCUUGUCUCUUCGUUGUGUUUGG
rnacentral:lncRNA from 1 species